UACCAGCACCCCGAGUGGUCGGGACGAUUAUUGGGCCUAAAGCAUCCGUAGCCGGUUCUACAAGUCUUCCGUUAAAUCCACCUGCUUAACAGAUGGGCUGCGGAGGAUACUAUAGAGCUAGGAGGCGGGAGAGGCAAGCGGUACUUAGUGGGUAGGGGUAAAAUCCGUUGAUCCAUUGAAGACCACCAGUGGCGAAGGCGGCUUGCCAGAACGCACUCGACGGUGAGGGAUGAGAGCUGGGGGAGCAAACCGG
rnacentral:rRNA from 1 species